rnacentral:tRNA from 1 species
UGGCUCAGUUGGUAGAGCAUGGUGUUUGCAACGCCGGGGCUGUGGGUUCAAUUCCCAC